rnacentral:rRNA from 1 species
ACGAACGCUGGCGGCAUGCCUAACACAUGCCAGUCGAACGAGACCUUCGGGUCUAGUGGCGCACGGGUGCGUAACGCGUGGGAACCUGCCCUUAGGUUCGGAAUAACUCCCCGAAAGGGGUGCUAACACCGGAUAAUGUCUUCGGACCAAAGAUUUAUCGCCUUUGGAUGGGCCCGCGUUGGAUUAGCUAGUUGGUAGGGUAAAAGCCUACCAAGGCGACGAUCCAUAGCUGGUCUGAGAGGAUGAUCAGCCACACUGGGACUGAGACACGGCCCAGACUCCUACGGGAGGCAGCAGUGGGGAAUAUUGGACAAUGGGCGAAAGCCUGAUCCAGCAAUGCCGCGUGAGUGAUGAAGGCCUUAGGGUUGUAAAGCUCUUUUACCCGGGAUGAUAAUGACAGUACCGGGAGAAUAAGCGCCGGCUAACUCCGUG